AAAGUCGUAACAAGGUCUCCGUAGGUGAACCUGCGGAGGGAUCAUUACACAAAUAUGAAGGCGGGCUGGAACCUCUCGGGGUUACAGCCUUGCUGAAUUAUUCACCCUUGUCUUUUGCGUACUUCUUGUUUCCUUGGUGGGUUCGCCCACCACUAGGACAAACAUAAACCUUUUGUAAUUGCAAUCAGCGUCAGUAACAAAUUAAUAAUUACAACUUUCAACAACGGAUCUCUUGGUUCUGGCAUCGAUGAAGAACGCAGCGAAAUGCGAUAAGUAGUGUGAAUUGCAGAAUUCAGUGAAUCAUCGAAUCUUUGAACGCACAUUGCGCCCUUUGGUAUUCCAAAGGGCAUGCCUGUUCGAGCGUCAUUUGUACCCUCAAGCUUUGCUUGGUGUUGGGCGUCUUGUCUCUAGCUUUGCUGGAGACUCGCCUUAAAGUAAUUGGCAGCCGGCCUACUGGUUUCGGAGCGCAGCACAAGUCGCACUCUCUAUCAGCAAAGGUCUAGCAUCCAUUAAGCCUUUUUUUCAACUUUUGACCUCGGAUCAGGUAGGGAUACCCGCUGAACUUAAGCAU
rnacentral:rRNA from 1 species